rnacentral:rRNA from 1 species
UACGUAGGGAGCAAGCGUUAUCCGGAUUUAUUGGGUGUAAAGGGUGCGUAGACGGGAAAUUAAGUUAGUUGUGAAAUCCCUCGGCUUAACCGAGGAACUGCCUGCCAGACUGGAUUGCUUGAGUCCGGGAGAGGUGAGUGGAAUUCCCAGUGUAGCGGUGAAAUGCGUAGAUAUUGGGAGGAACACCAGUGGCGAAGGCGGCUCGCUGGGCCUCUUCUGACGCUGAGGUGCGAAAGCGUGGGGAGCGAACGGG